rnacentral:rRNA from 1 species
GACGAACGCUGGCGGCGUGCUUAACACAUGCAAGUCGAGCGGUAAGGCCCUUUCGGGGGUACGACGAGCGGCGAACGGGUGAGUAACACGUGGGUGACCUGCCCUCCAGCUCUGGGAGUAAGCCUGGGAAACCGGGUCUAAUACUGGAUAUGACUCCAUGACGCAUGUUGUGGGGUGGAAAGCCUUGUGCGGCUGAGGAUGGGCCCGCGGCCUAUCAGCUUGUUGGUGGGGUGAGGCCUACCAAGGCGACGACGGGUAGCCGGCCUGAGAGGGCGACCGGCCACACUGGGACUGAGACACGGCCCAGACUCCUACGGGAGGCAGCAGUGGGGAAUCUUGCGCAAUGGGCGAAAGCCUGACGCAGCGACGCCGCGUGAGGGAUGACGGCCUCGG